rnacentral:rRNA from 1 species
GACGAACGCUGGCGGCGUGCCUAAUACAUGCAAGUAGGACGCAGUUGCGAACGGGUGAGUAACGCGUAGGUAACUACCUAUUAGAGGGGGAUAACUAUUGGAAACGAUAGCUAAUACCGCAUACUAGUAGAUGGACCUGCGUUGUAUUAGCUAGUAGGUAGGGUAAUGGCCUACCUAGGCAACGAUACAUCGCCGAGCCGAGGGGGUGGACAGCCAAACUGGGACUGAAGAACGGCCCAGACUCCUACGGGAGGCAGCAGGAGGGAAUCUUCGGCAAUGUGGGGAACCCUGACCGAGCAACGCCGCGGGAGUGAAGUAGGUUUUCGGAUCGUAAAGCUCUGUUGUUAAGGAAGCGGUACUUAACCAGAAAGGGACGGCUAACUCCGUGCCAGCAGCCGCGGUAAUUC